GCCUGACUGGCUUAGUCAGUAGAGCAUGAGACUCUUGAUCUCAGGGUUGUGAGUUCAAAACCCAUGUUGUACA
rnacentral:tRNA from 1 species